AGUANGGAAUCUUCCGCAAUGGACGAAAGUCUGACGGAGCAACGCCGCGUGAGUGAUGAAGGUUUUCGGAUCGUAAAGCUCUGUUGUUAGGGAAGAACAAGUGCCGUUCAAAUAGGGCGGCACCUUGACGGUACCUAACCAGAAAGCCACGGCUAACUACGUGCCAGCAGCCGCGGUAAUACGUAGGUGGCAAGCGUUGUCCGGAAUUAUUGGGCGUAAAGGGCUCGCAGGCGGUUUCUUAAGUCUGAUGUGAAAGCCCCCGGCUCAACCGGGGAGGGUCAUUGGAAACUGGGGAACUUGAGUGCAGAAGAGGAGAGUGGAAUUCCACGUGUAGCGGUGAAAUGCGUAGAGAUGUGGAGGAACACCAGUGGCGAAGGCGACUCUCUGGUCUGUAACUGACGCUGAGGAGCGAAAGCGUGGGGAGCGAACAGGAUUAGAUACCCUGGUAGUCCACGCCGUAAACGAUGAGUGCUAAGUGUUAGGGGGUUUCCGCCCCUUAGUGCUGCAGCUAACGCAUUAAGCACUCCGCCUGGGGAGUACGGUCGCAAGACUGAAACUCAAAGGAAUUGACGGGGGCCCGCACAAGCGGUGGAGCAUGUGGUUUAAUUCGAAGCAACGCGAAGAACCUUACCAGGUCUUGACAUCCUCUGACAAUCCUAGAGAUAGGACGUCCCCUUCGGGGGCAGAGUGACAGGUGGUGCAUGGUUGUCGUCAGCUCGUGUCGUGAGAUGUUGGGUUAAGUCCCGCAACGAGCGCAACCCUUGAUCUUAGUUGCCAGCAUUCAGUUGGGCACUCUAAGGUGACUGCCGGUGACAAACCGGAGGAAGGUGGGGAUGACGUCAAAUCAUCAUGCCCCUUAUGACCUGGGCUACACACGUGCUACAAUGGACAGAACAAAGGGCAGCGAAACCGCGAGGUUAAGCCAAUCCCACAAAUCUGUUCUCAGUUCGGAUCGCAGUCUGCAACUCGACUGCGUGAAGCUGGAAUCGCUAGNNAUCGCGGAUCAGCAUGCCGCGGGAAUACUUA
rnacentral:rRNA from 1 species